UACGAAGGGUGCAAACGUUGCUCGGAAUUAUUGGGCGUAAAGCGCACGUAGGCGGCUUGGCAAGUCGGACGUUAAAUCCCUUGGCUCAACCAAGGAAGUGCAUCCGAAACUGCUGAGCUUGAGUACGAAAGAGGAUCGCGGAAUUCCCGGUGUAGAGGUGAAAUUCGUAGAUAUCGGGAGGAACACCAGUGGCGAAGGCGGCGAUCUGGGUCGAUACUGACGCUGAGGUGCGAAAGCGUGGGGAGCAAACAGG
rnacentral:rRNA from 1 species